rnacentral:rRNA from 1 species
CGGGGUCUAAUACCGGAUACUGACCCGCUUGGGCAUCCAAGCGGUUCGAAAGCUCCGGCGGUGCAGGAUGAGCCCGCGGCCUAUCAGCUUGUUGGUGAGGUAAUGGCUCACCAAGGCGACGACGGGUAGCCGGCCUGAGAGGGCGACCGGCCACACUGGGACUGAGACACGGCCCAGACUCCUACGGGAGGCAGCAGUGGGGAAUAUUGCACAAUGGGCGAAAGCCUGAUGCAGCGACGCCGCGUGAGGGAUGACGGCCUUCGGGUUGUAAACCUCUUUCAGCAGGGAAGAAGCGAAAGUGACGGUACCUGCAGAAGAAGCGCCGGCUAACUACGUGCCAGCAGCCGCGGUAAUACGUAGGGCGCGAGCGUUGUCCGGAAUUAUUGGGCGUAAAGAGCUCGUAGGCGGCUUGUCACGUCGGUUGUGAAAGCCCGGGGCUUAACCCCGGGUCUGCAGUCGAUACGGGCAGGCUAGAGUUCGGUAGGGGAGAUCGGAAUUCCUGGUGUAGCGGUGAAAUGCGCAGAUAUCAGGAGGAACACCGGUGGCGAAGGCGGAUCUCUGGGCCGAUACUGACGCUGAGGAGCGAAAGCGUGGGGAGCG